rnacentral:rRNA from 1 species
AUUGAACGCUGGCGGCAGGCCUAACACAUGCAAGUCGAGCGGAUGAAGGGAGCUUGCUCCUGGAUUCAGCGGCGGACGGGUGAGUAAUGCCUAGGAAUCUGCCUGGUAGUGGGGGAUAACGCCCGGAAACGGGCGCUAAUACCGCAUACGUCCUGAGGGAGAAAGUGGGGGAUCUUCGGACCUCACGCUAUCAGAUGAGCCUAGGUCGGAUUAGCUAGUUGGUGGGGUAAAGGCCUACCAAGGCGACGAUCCGUAACUGGUCUGAGAGGAUGAUCAGUCACACUGGAACUGAGACACGGUCCAGACUCCUACGGGAGGCAGCAGUGGGGAAUAUUGGACAACGGGCGAAAGCCUGAUCCAGCCAUGCCGCGUGUGUGAAGAAGGUCUUCGGAUUGUAAAGCACUUUAAGUUGGGAGGAAGGGCAGUAAGUUAAUACCUUGCUGUUUUGACGUUACCAACAGAAUAAGCACCGGCUAACUUCGUG